rnacentral:rRNA from 1 species
AUUAUUACCGCGGCUGCUGGCACGGAGUUAGCCGGGGCUCCUUUAGCGGUACCGUCAGUUCCCCGGGAUAUUCACCCAGGAAGCGUUCUUCCCGCUCGACAGGAGUUUACGACCCGAAGAUCUUCGUCCUCCACGCGGCGUUGCGUCGUCAGGCUUGCGCCCAUUGCGAACAAUUCCCCACUGCUGCCUCCCGUAGGAGUCUGGGCCGUGUCUCAGUCCCAGUGUGUCCGUCCGCCCUCUCAGGCCGGAUACUGAUCGUCGCCUUGGUGGGCCGUUACCUCACCAACUAGCUAAUCAGACGCGGGCCCCUCUUCAAACGCCAGGUCUUGCGAUCCCCGGCUUUGAUCUCCACUUGUUCAAAAGCAGGAUGUUAUGCGGUAUUAGCGUCCCUUUCGGGACGUUAUCCCCCAUUCGAAGGUAGGUCACCCACGUGUUACUCACCCGUUCGCCACUCUAAUAACCCCUUGCGGGGCUUUCGCGUUCGACUUGCAUGUGUUAGGCACGCCGCCAGCGUUGAUUCUGAGCCAUGAUCAAACUCUAAUCACUAGUGA